CCCGCAGCGGGGCGCGGCCAACGCGAGGGGCCAAGGCACGCGCAGCCACCCUAACGUGACGGCAAGCUGGAACAGAAACCAUCUUUCUGACUGUAAUACCCCAUGUCGGUUUGGUGAGAUGGCAAUGGAGUAAUCCACAACACCUGCAACAAAUGCCACCUAAUCCUUAUCAGAUGUGGACUCCCACACGAAGUUCUUGGCUCCUGAGUUACCCCUUGUUAAUCACACCUCACCAGAAACAUCUGUACCAUUCCUCCACUUGAAACUAAAGACAGUGGGGGAUUUGGAAGGGCAAGAAGGAUGAACUAAGAAAAGAAACUCUGUCAAUAGAGAAGGCAUUUUAAGAAUAGAAUUUAGAUACAAAAUGACGUCCGUAAAACGCAAAAUCUUAAAAGAUGCUAUGUAUGUAUGUUGUAGUGUGUUGUUAAAUUUAUUGUA